AAAUGUCGUCUAGUGUUAAAGAUAAGAUAACAAACUUGUUUUGUCCUUUCCGUUUAAUGUGCCAUCAACUGCUAUCACAACAGGUGUGUUCUACUUAAACAAAAAGUGUAAAGCAGAGAGUAGAAUGAGAGGUUUGGUUUGGUGCUCUUUUGGCUCAGUAGACCUAUAAAGCUAGUCCAUACGCCAUUCUAUGUCAUUUUGAUAACAGGUUUAAAACCGUGGAUUGGGUUCCUGACGCCAAGCCACGGAGUUGUACACUUGUUUAAAUUAAA